rnacentral:rRNA from 1 species
AUGUGGUCUUCAACCUUUAGUUCACGCACAGGAACAAACUGGACACAGAACUACUACCAAUUACACAUCAAAUCAGGUGAUUUAGACCUCGAAUCACAUCAACUUGAACAUCAAAUCUGUCGCCCUAUUCGUCGUGAAUCCAUUCCAUUAGAGUGCACAACCUAUUGUUCACUAACCAAGGAGAUCAAAAAUGCAUUCACCAUGGCCGGACUAGAGCGUUCUGCUCUACGCUGGAGCAUCAGGGACUUGGGGCACGCUGCUGGGGUGGAACUCAGAGGAGAGGAGGCGGCGGGGCUAGUGACGGCGGUGCGGAACUCACAGCUACGUGCUAAUGCGGGCGGCGGCGGUGCGUAA